UCGGGUGUGGUGUAUGGUGCACGACGGUUCCAUUUAGUGAUGUCAAGAUGGUGUAUACCGUACGCCGGGGUUCGACUCCCCGCACCCGAC